rnacentral:misc_RNA from 1 species
GAAAUGCGAUAAGUAAUGUGAAUUGCAGAAUUCAGUGAACCAUCGAACCUUUGAACGCACAUUGCGCCCCCCGGCACCCCGGGGGGUACGCCUGUCCGAGCGUCGGUGCUCCCCCUCAGGCUAGGCCUGGUCGCGGGCCCCGCGCGCGAAAACCCUCCCCCCCGAGGGGGCGCGCGCGCGGGCCCGAGAUGCGUCGGCGGCGCGGCCCCGGCCGGGAGCGAACAAGGAGGCCCAGGCCGCCCCGCUCCCGCGCCCCGGAGCCCGCCGCCCGGCCCCCCGCGGCCGCAACACCACCUCGCGGUCGACCUCGGAUCAGGCGGGGCUACCCGCUGAACUUAA